GAGUUUGAUCAUGGCUCAGAUUGAACGCUGGCGGCAGGCCUAACACAUGCAAGUCGAACGGUGACGGAGAGCUUGCUCUCCUGAUCAGUGGCGAACGGGUGAGUAACACGUGGGCAACCUGCCCCAGACUUCGGGAUAACGCUUCGAAAGAGGUGCUAAUACCGAAUACGAACCUCCCUGGCAUCUGGGAGGUUGGAAAGUUUUUCGGUCUGGGAUGGGCCCGCGGCCUAUCAGCUUGUUGGUGAGGUAAACGGCUCACCCAAGGCGACGACGGGUAGCCGGCCUGAGAGGGCGACCGGCCACACUGGGACUGAGACACGGCCCAGACUCCUACGGGAGGCAGCAGUGGGGAAUAUUGCGCAAUGGGCGAAAGCCUGACGCAGCAACGCCGCGUGAGGGAUGACGGCCUUCGGGUUGUAAACCUCUUUCAGCAGGGAAGAAGCGAAAGUGACGGUACCUGCAGAAGAAGCACCGGCUAACUACGUG
rnacentral:rRNA from 1 species